CUCACUGAACGUGAACGUAUUCGUAAAGAUUAGACGACGCUAACUAAUAAAACAUAAAAACAGAAUUUUAAAAUUUUUGUGAAACAAAAUAAAUAAUAUUUCGAAACAAUAACCUAACACAAAGUUCUAAACAUGACCAUUUACGCCAUAAUUGUGCAAAUAAUUUUAGUGUGUAACUAAAAACUAAAUUACAAAAUUGAAUAAACAAAAACAUUCUAAAACUAUUUUAAAUAAAAAAAAAACUCAAAAUGUUUCUUUCAACCUUUUAUGAUUCUCCGCAUUAUCAACAUGAAGAUCCCGAUGAGGAUAUGGUGGCAAAGAUACCUUCCAUAAUUGGCUUUCUUAAUUUGGAUUGAAACGUGUGGUCGAUGUUUAAUAUUUAGGUUUUUUUAUAUUUUUAAUUAUCAUAUGUAAUAUUUAAUUAUUAUAAGUCUAGAAUGUAAGAAAUUAAUAAACAACUGAUUUAAUAUAGUUAAUUAUUGUUAUGAAAUUGAUUCGUAUCAAUUUAAAUUGAACCGUUUUUGGCGGCUUGUACGGCAUAUUAUUGCCGUAGACAUUUUUAGAGUUGCUUACAGAGAGUUAUUAUAACUGUAACUGACGUUUAUUAUUUGCAAUAAAAAGUAAUCCAGUUUAUUUAAAUGAAAUAAAUCAUCGUUUUUAAAAGGUAAAAACGUAACAAUGAA